rnacentral:rRNA from 1 species
CCUACGGGUGGCUGCAGUGGGGAAUAUUGGGCAAUGGGCGCAAGCCUGACCCAGCAAUGCCGCGUGAAGGAAGAAGGCUUUCGGGUUGUAAACUUCUUUUGUCAGGGAAGAGUAGAAGACGGUACCUGACGAUUAAGCUACGGCUAACUGCGUGCCAGCGUCCGCGGUAAUACGGAGGGGGCAAGCGUUGUACGGAUUUACUGGGUGUAAAGGGCGUGUAGCCGGGUUGACAAGUCAGAUGUGAAAUCCUGGGGCUUAACCCCAGAACUGCAUCUGAAACUGUUGAGCUUGAGUACUGGAGAGGCAGAUGGAAUUCCUAGUGUAGCGGUGAAAUGCGUAGAUAUUAGGAGGAACACCAGUGGCGAAGGCGGUCUGCUGGACAGCAACUGACGGUGAGGCGCGAAAGCGUGGGGAGCAAACAGGAUUAGAUACCCGAGUAGUC